AGAUGUGAGGGCGAUCUGGCUGUGACAUCUGUCACCCCAUUGAUCGCCAGGGUUGAUUCCGCUGAUCUGGCUGGCUAGGUGGGUGUCCCCUUCCUCCCUCACCGCUUCAUGUGCGUGCCUCCCGAAGCUGCGCGCUCGGUCAAAGAGGACGGCCUUCCUUGAAUAGAGACAGACCGGUCUUCGGUCUAGGGCAUAGGAGUAGCUGCGCUCCCCUGCUAGAACCUCCAAACAAGCUCUCAAGUAUUGAAUACUGCAGGUCCAGAUCCAUAUUAGAGAAAUAAUUUGCAGAUCUGAGGUCCCAGAGGCUUCAGAUU
ensembl:misc_RNA 7SK 7SK RNA